GUGAUACACAUAAAUUGCAUAUAAAUUCGAAAUAUACAUAAAUUGCAAUCCUGGACUCAAAACCAGAACUUAUAAUCAGAUUGUUUUUCCAGGUUUCAAAUUCGUAUUUGCCUGAUAAACAUAGAAAAUGAUAACAAGGCCAACCUUUUCCCACAGCCAAAAGUGCAGAAAGUAACAAAUCAAAGAGAAUAAAAAGGAACUAUACAUAUGCCUGCAGAAACAGUUGAGAACACUCAAGAUAUACCUUUUUCACACAAGAUCAACAGUGGCGUAGGAUCAAUUAGUUAUCUUCCUCCAAACAUGUACACGGACUUCUGUCAAAACCGUCUUUUAUUCACCGAGCACCAUUUUUUAAAUAUUAUUCAUCUGUUUUGGUCAUCCGAAUGUUGCCAGUCAGGUAGCUGCUUUGGACAAUCCCAUGCCAAAUCCACGCUUAGACUUUUCUUUUCUUUCAUUUUAAUAAUACAUGUCACUAAGUAUGGAGUUCUUUGUGCAAAACAUACCAAUGUUUGAAAAAGAUGAAUUCAUCUCUCCAAUUUAAAAUAUCUUCAAUGACCUUGAAUUUUGUCGUCUUCUCUUUCAAUUUGCCCAAAAUAUGGAUGAAUUCUUCUUUUGUAAUUGUUUCAAUUCUUCUCUUUCAAUUCGCCUUCUUCUGUGUCUUCACCUCACAGCAACUGGCGUCUAGUCUAGUGGUGCCCUUUACGCAUGUUUAUUCCCGUGGAACCAGCACGAUCGAUCAUGCCAUCUUGCUGGGUGCUGGAUCCGUCACUACUUUAAUUGCAAGUAGUAUGUUUUAUAUUUUAAUAAAUUUGAUAUGAG
rnacentral:lncRNA from 1 species